GUCCUUGCCGUAAACGAUGUAUACUUGGUGUAACCGGACUCAACCCUGGUUGUGCCGUAGCUAACGCGUUAAGUAUACCGCCUGGGGAGUACAGUCGCAAGGCUGAAACUCAAAAGAAUUGACGGGGACCCGCACAAGCAGUGGAGCAUGUGGUUUAAUUCGAUGCAACGCGAAGAACCUUACCCAGACUUGACAUGCAGUAGACAGGUCCAGAAAUGGGCUCUUCCUUCGGGACUGCUGCACAGGUGCUGCAUGGCUGUCGU
rnacentral:rRNA from 1 species